rnacentral:rRNA from 1 species
UACGUAGGGGGCAAGCGUCGUCCGGAAUCAUUGGGCGUAAAGCGCGUGUAGGCGGCCCGGUAAGUCCGCUGUGAAAGUCCAGGGCUCAACCCUGGGAUGCCGGUGGAUACUGCUGGACUAGAGUGCGGAAGAGGCGAGUGGAAUUCCCGGUGUAGCGGUGAAAUGCGCAGAUAUCGGGAGGAACACCAAUUGCGAAGGCAGCUCGCUGGGACGUUACUGACGCUGAGACGCGAAAGCGUGGGGAGCAAACAGG